AGCAGCCGCGGUAAUUCCAGCUCCAAUAGCGUAUAUUAAAGUUGUUGCAGUUAAAAAGCUCGUAGUUGAAUUUCGGGAUCAGUACGCUGGUCGUGCCUCCGGUAUGUACUGGUGUCACUGAUUCCUCCCUUCUGAAGAACCAUCAUGCCAUUAAUUUGGUGUGGUGGGGAAUCAGGACUGUUACUUUGAAAAAAUUAGAGUGUUUAAAGCAGGCUCGCGCUUGAAUACAUUAGCAUGGAAUAAUGAAAUAGGACGUUUAUCCUAUUUUGUUGGUUUCUAGGAUUGACGUAAUGAUUAAUAGGGAUAGUUGGGGGCAUUAGUAUUCAAUUGUCAGAGGUGAAAUUCUUGGAUUUAUUGAAGACUAACUACUGCGAAAGCAUUUGCCAAGGAUGUUUUCAUUAAUCAAGAACGAAAGUUAGGGGAUCGAAGACGAUCAGAUACCGUCGUAGU
rnacentral:rRNA from 1 species